AAAUUUAAUUAAAAUCUUGCUUGUAUAAUACUGAUAAUAAGGUUCAGUAGUAUCUACCGAAUACCGUAAAUAUUCGACUAUGGGCGUGAAAUAAUAUCAC
rnacentral:ncRNA from 2 species